GGACAAGGCAGUUUCCAUCUCCCAGCUCUGCUUCCUUAACAGUGAAGUGGAGACAGCCAUGUUUAUUCUUCCUACACAGGUGUGUGACUUCUACAACUACUUAAAAAGCAUCCAGCCAGGCACAGUGGCUCAUGUCUGUAAUCCCAGCACUUCAGGAGGCCAAGGUGGGCGGAUCACGAGGUCAGGAGUUCGAGACCAGUCUGGCCAACAUGGUGAAACCCUGUCUCUACUAAUAAUACAAAAAUUAGCCAGGCGUGGUGGCGUGCGCCUGUAGUCCCACCUACUUGGGAGGAUGAGGCAGGAGAAUUGCUUAAACCGGGGAGGUGGAGGUUGCAGUGAACCGAGAUUGCACCACUGCACUCCAGCCUGGGUGAUGAAGCAAGACUCCGUCUCAAGGAAAAAAAAAAAGCAUCUAGUUGGAUGCUUAGUAUCUCUUAUGUUUUUGACUUUAUGAUCAUGUUGGAAAAGAAAAUAUUUCUUUUCCUCACCCAUCCUUAGGCUUAUGUCUGAGAUGCCUAUAACAAGAGAAAAGCAUACAAAUUUAUUGAAUAUAAAUUUUGCAUAACACGGGAGACUUUUCGAAAUGAACACUCAAAGAAAUAGGUAAACCUGUGUAUUUUUUUAUGAUAGGUUUGACGAAGAAGUGGACAGUUGUGGAGAAGUGUGACUGGAUUAAAAAUGAUGAUUUAAUGGUAAUGAAUGGGGAGGAGUGUAGCAAAACCUGUCUGUUAGAUUCUUCUCUGUGACCAUGUGUCUUCAGAGAUAAGGGUGUUCCUUUCCUCUGGGUAGAGAAAGGACACCUCUCAAAUGAGGGUCUUAAGAUCCGCUUCAGGGGAAAAUGAUGGGAGAAAGUCAGAGAAUGACCUUCCUAGGUUUUAUGACCUGCUUCGGGAAAGAAAAAAUGGAGAGAAGAGGGUGGCCUUCUUGCCUCUGCUCUUUUCUCAAAUGCCAAGUAGUGUUAAAAGCAUUUAGGGAGGGUCUCCAAGGAUUAUAGAAAUUUAAUCAACUUGAGCAAUCAGCCUGUUUUAGAGCCUCCUGCCCUGAAGCCUAUUCUUCCCCAAACCCUCUGUGGAAUGAGGUCGUCUUGGUGGUUUCAACCAGCUCCUGACAGAUCCCAGCAACUUACAGAUGAAAGCAAGUGACCUUUCCUCAUUACUGUGAUGAAGUCUCCACCCCUGAGGAGCUAGAGUUUCAUCACCAUGAUGUGCGACCUAUGCACCGGCAUGAUGACUCACUACACGCACCACUGAGACCCCUCUUCUACAUGUGAUGAUGCACCCUCUCCCCUCUCCAUCACUCCAUAAAACCCUCCCAUCACUUUCCCUAGGGGAGAGACUGCUUUGAAGAAUGCUCCCAGUGUCCUCCUUACUUGAGCCAAGUAAUAAACCUCCUAUUAAUAAAAACC
rnacentral:lncRNA from 1 species